GGGGAACCCGGCCCCACUUAACACCAUUACCUGCAAUUACAGCCCAGCAAAUGGUGUGAGUUUGAGCCAGAGGGGUAAUCAAAGUCCAUUGAAGAGAUUAGAGGUGGUGGCACAAGCUGUGCCCCAAAUUGAUGGCCCAGAUGGCAGAUCCUAUGGGCACCUCACUGAGCAGCAGGUCUGAGAUGCGCCUAAGUGAGAAAGAAAAGCAAAGUAAUGUAGAAGGAGCAGAAUAAACAACUCCGGGCAGAAGAAAUCAAAAGUGCCCAUUUCCCAACAGCAGAAUCUGUUCUGGAAGUGCACCUUCAGCCGGGGGCUCCAAUGCACCACAGCAGCAGGAGAGCAAACCCUUCAGAUCGUUAUUUAUUGUGACGUUCAGCCAGUCCUUGUUCCUGGGGGCUACAGGAUGGAACUGAUCGCCUCCUUUCCAUUCGUAUCCCCCACCCACCAGAUAUAAUCAGACUUAGCACAUUUCAUCUUCAAAGCACUUUGCAAACAUUAAUUCAUUAAUCCUUUAACCCUCCUGUGAAGUAAUUAAGCCUUAUCCCUGUUUUACAGACCUCUUUAUCUUCAGAAUCUGCUCAUUCAUUUUUAGUGCACCCAUCACAAUAUCACAGCAAUAGAGAAAUCAUAGCACAGAGUUGUGCGGAGCCCCAUUUCAGGCCUGCUGAGCUCUGGAAAUCCCACAGGAGCUCCAGGACUUCAGGGAGGCCGCGGUUCUGCUUUGCUCCUGCAGGGCGUCCCCAUUUAAUCGCCCUGGUAAAGUUGUUGGUCAGCUGUUGGCCAAAACACUUCCACUACUGACAGAGCAUUUACUCACUUACAGCCUCAGCGGGCUUCACGUGCAAUGGGGCAGAAAAACAGACCCAGUCUAUAGAGCUACUGAAUAAUUCAUUUAACAAUAAUUGUUUGUCUUCCAAGGGAGCAAUUCGGAUGGGACAAUUCAAGAAACAGAACAAGCCAUAAUCAGAUCACAUUUAAUACCCAUCUGAGAGGCAAAGAGAAACAACUCUGUGUUUACAUCACAGUCCGGAUUCCUUCCUGUUGGUCUUCUGUUAACCUCCAGGAGGGCGGUGAGGCCGACAGCCUUCCCUGAGCUCCUCCAGGACUGCUCUGCCCCACCGAGCAGCUCCCAACGGCCCUCCCUGCACAGUUGGUUUUGGGAUCGCAGCAGAAACAAUCGUGCCUCUGUCUGUGAUGCGGCAGAGCAGAAUGAAUGGAUGCUGAAAUGAGAUGUUGUAUUGUGAGAACAGACGAAGGGCAUGGAAGAAAGCUCCUUUCUAUGGCUCAGUUUGUAGAGUCAGACGAGAGAGGGAUUUAUUUUUUGUUACUGGUCCAAUCAUCUGAUUGUGAGUGGAUGCCAGUAAAAACUGGGACUCCCCACAUCCUACCUUCCCUCUGCUCUAUUUAUUUUUGCACCUUCUGAGCACGUGGCAUCUCAGCAGCACCUCACCUGCUGCCCCAGAGGACGAAGCACGCCGGCAGGAGGAGGAGGAGGGCUGUGACACAUCCCCAUAGAACAGCGAGCAAAACCUUUCCCAGGCAUCGGAGCCGAGAGGACAUUUCCAGCGCCCCCUGAUUUCGCGAGGGGAAACUCCACCUCAAAGCAGCGCUGCGGGCACAGCAUCGGGAAUUUGUCCUGAAGAGCCCAGAAGGUGAACGUUGUAACCACCAGGCAGGCUGACAAAGCACCAACAUUACUUGCGGGGCAGCCAGGACACACAGGAGCUGGUCUCCAAUAUCCUGGUGCAGGACAGCAGGAGCAUCCCUCUGCCUCUCACUGUCUCACCCAGGACCAAGGCUUCCUGGCAGGGAACUGGAGUGAAUCAUGCAGAAGGAGAGAACUGGAGCAGGAAAUACAGCUGCCAGGCUGACUCAGCACACGGCUUCUCUCUUGGACCUUGAACAGAUGGGAACUGUGAUCAGUGUUAAUGUUUAACUCCACCAAAAAUCCCCUGUUUAGCAAAAGACACCUGAAGCUCACCAGCUUUUCUGGAAGGAGGUGCUUUGCUUUGCCAGGAGAUGCGCUGAUGAUGAUUCCUCAGUGGCCAGAUCAGCAAUUGCACCUUUUAGCAGGCAAAUGAAAUCCAAAGGGCCUCACAACAGAGAAGCUCCAGGAAGGAGAUGGAUAAAAUCAGUUAAUCUCUGCAGGCCUGCACUAUGCUGGGCAUGUCAAGUCACACCAUAACUACAGAUCUGCUUUAUAGACCUCCAAUGUGUAGAGCAAUAACAAAGCAUGCAUCUGUGCAGAGGCCCGAAUUGUACAACAGUCACCAAUGAGCUGGAAAAUAAGUAAACAGUGAAGUGACAAAUCUACUGAUACGGAACUACUCAGGACAUCCAAACUGACUGGAAAGAGUCAGGAAGGAAUCCCACAUCACUGGGCAAUCCAACAACGAAUGCAAAUAUGAAGGGGCAAAGCUAGCUUGACUGUAAUUACACAGUGAUGAGGUCUAAGUUUGCUAUUUCUACUUAGAAAGGAGCUCAUGGAAUCAUGGGGUAGUGAGCUCUGCAUUCACUGGUGAAAACAAGCAGUAUUUUUAAAAAGAGACACAACAAGGAAGAAAAGAAAUCUGCACUGAUCCCAUAGGAUGCCAGCACUCAUUUUUUAUUGCACUUUACCUGCAAGGUUAACACUUGGGUGUGGUUUGGUUGGUUCUCUUUGUUGUGGUACUGACACGUGCUGUGUGAAAGAAGCAAUCCUGGAGUCUUAAACUGUGCCUAAAGGAGAGCUUGGAAAGGGCUGCAGGAGCCAACAAGGGCACUUGUGCUGUAACUCAUGUCUAUUACAUGUGCCUUACAUUGUGCUGUAACUCAUGUCUAUGCUGUAACUCUGUCUUUCUGGAACAGCUGUUUCCUGGAGGGCUUAAAGCCUCUCCUCCUCAGUCCCGCAGUCACCACAUCUGUGAUGGUAUCUCCUUUAAGUUAUGCUAUGCUACAUUAAUGAUGUAUUUUUCUACUGCUUUCCCUUUAUUUAAAAAAAAUAAAUAAAUAGAAGGGAAUGUAAGGACUGAUAGAGCGUGUUUGGAAGUGAAGUAAAAUUCCAGUUUAAUCGCUGAUUAAACAAAUGAGUGGUGCUGCUGGGAGGGGGUCACAUGAAGUUCAUUGGCUGGGUGGAGGGAAAGAAAAAGCCAUGUGGGUGUUCAAGCACCGUCCAUACCUUUGAGUGUUUCUUCAGCAGCUGCCUCACCCUACCUGCUGCUUCUGGGCCUCUUCUGGAGGAAGUUCAGCAGCUCCAACAACCAGAGAAAUCAGGCAGAGGAGGCAGAAUCCCUCAGGAAGUGCUGCUGCAGUGAGAGAGAAACCCUCAGCUAGGGUACCAGGCAGAGAGUGCUGAAAAGGCAAAAUAAACGUUAUUUGGACUCUCCUCUCUAGGAGAGAUAAUGCCCUAAGAGUAAUGCUAGAGAAGAUGCUGUCC
ensembl:lncRNA